UUCAACUCCCCAAACCUCUACAUCUGCAGUUAUGCCAGAGCAAGAGACUGCAACCCAGAGACUGCACCCGGAGCCCACCUCAACUGCUUCAGUGGAAACCAAGAGGCCUGUGAAGGCUACUCGAAGACCAAGGCGGAAGUCCACCACUGCUUCCCCCCUGACCACC